AUAAUUCAAAAAACAGCACCCAUCGUUCGAGAAAACUACAAUACACCGAAAUCUUAUUAUACAAACUUGUACAACCUAAAAGGGCACGUCUGCUUUGAAUCACCAAAAUUUCGUUUUUGUCAUUUUGAGUUCCCGCUAUAUCGCCUGGGAGAUCAAGAUAUUUUACCUCGAGUUUGGUGACACUUUGUCGAAGAAAAAUUUGCCUAAUAGGAAUUCUGUCAUUUUAAAAUGAUUUUUUACGUAAGUUGGACAACUUUAGUUUUUUUAAUAAUUCAAAAAACAAUUUUGCCAUUUUGCCGUCAGUCAAAUUUAUUUUGUAAAUAUUUAGUAUUUCAAGCUCUAGCUAGUUCGGUACGUAAUAGAACGCCAUCCGCCCGUUUUUCACAAGAUGAUAAUGGGACAUAAUGGUAAAAGCAAAGAUCAUAUGAUCUUUGAUAAAAGGUUAAUCUCUUUAUCGUCUUGUUAAUUAAAUAUAAGUAAUAAGCAUUGAGUAACUAUAGCAUUGCUAAUCCAACAGUCAAUCAUAUAAGAAAUUUAGAAAUAAGAACCCAUCGUCCGUGCCCCGUGAUUGGAAUUUCCGUUGGCCUUGGCAGAAAGUGCAUCGCAUCACAGAUAAGACGAACGUUCUCAGCUUCAUUUUACAAUUUUUCCUUCAUUCGGGUCUUUGGCGGGGAGUUGUGUUGUGGCGUACUUACGUAACGUAAUGUAAUUGACAUUGGAUGAUAAGUGGUAAUUAAUAUCUAAAGGACUGUAAGUAUUUUUUUGGAACAAUGCCGAGAAGAUCAGUUAGAAUUUUGUCGAUGCUCAAAAAUCCCGUCCAUCCGUAAGACAGCAUCCAGGAUGAAUAUGAUCUUCAAGACAUCGAACGUUGUCAAGAUGCCCUAAAUCCUGAAGAAAACCGAAUCGCACCAAUACAGACUACAGGGGAAAUUAUGGAGGAGAUAGAUUUGAUAAAACCAAAUACAAAAGGUAAACUCCAGCAUAAAUCUCUAGUAGCGCGCCAUAUGGUCUUCAGAAGAAAAAUCAGCUGUCUUAGGUUUUUUCAACCAAGAAAUUAAAAAAAGAUCUAGUACCCGGAGAAGCUCAAUGUGAAAAGUGCUUAGAAGAACAUGAUGUUUUGCCCACAAGAUCAUGGACCGACGUAAAAUUCUGCAUUAAAAACCAUCUAGACAAGAGAAAAGAUGAGUGCCUUUACUCAUACAAAGUUAAAAACUGCCUUUGUUGUACUAUAGUGUGACAUUUUACACGUUUAAUCUAUUUCUUAUUACUAAAAAAUGUACAGGUACUAGGUAGCUUUACUGAAAGCAUUGAAUUUAUAGAUAGUUAUCAAUUCAAUGCUGAAAGUACCAUUGCUGUACUAAUUAAGAUUAUUGUAGUUUUCUGAAACAUUUUUAAUUUUUCUGUUGUUCAUUGGGAUUUAUAAAAUUCCUUCUGUAUUUGUGUAUAGCCAACUGAAUAAAGAUUUCUAA